AAUAUUGGACAAUGGGGGGAACCCUGAUCCAGCCAUGCCGCGUGUGUGAAGAAGGUCUUCGGUUUGUAAAGCACUUUAUGUUGGGAGGAAGAGUUGUAGGCUAAUACCUUGCAAUUUUGACGUUACUAACAGAAUAAGCACCGGCUAACGCGUUGCCACAAGCCGCGGUAAUACAGAGGGUGCAAGCGUUAACCGGAAUUACUGGGCGUAAAGCGCGCGUAGGUGGUUCAGUAAGAUGGGUGUGAAAUCCCCGGGCUUAACCUGGGAACUGCUUUCAUAACUGCUGAGCUAGAGUACGGUAGAGGGUAGUGGAAUUUCCUGUGUAGCGGUGAAAUGCGUAGAUAUAGGAAGGAACACCAGUGGCGAAGGCGACUACCUGGACUGAUACUGACACUGAGGUGCGAAAGCGUGGGGAGCAAAC
rnacentral:rRNA from 1 species